rnacentral:rRNA from 1 species
GACGAACGCUGGCGGCGUGCUUAACACAUGCAAGUCGAACGAUGAUCAGGAGCUUGCUCCUGUGAUUAGUGGCGAACGGGUGAGUAACACGUGAGUAACCUGCCCCUGACUCUGGGAUAAGCGUUGGAAACGACGUCUAAUACUGGAUACGACUGCCGGCCGCAUGGUCUGGUGGUGGAAAGAUUUUUUGGUUGGGGAUGGACUCGCGGCCUAUCAGCUUGUUGGUGAGGUAAUGGCUCACCAAGGCGACGACGGGUAGCCGGCCUGAGAGGGUGACCGGCCACACUGGGACUGAGACACGGCCCAGACUCCUACGGGAGGCAGCAGUGGGGAAUAUUGCACAAUGGGCGAAAGCCUGAUGCAGCAACGCCGCGUGAGGGAUGACGGCCUUCGGGUUGUAAACCUCUUUUAGUAGGGAAGAAGCGAAAGUGACGGUACCUGCAGAAAAAGCACCGGCUAACUACGUGCCAGCAGCAGCCGCAG